GGGACAACAGUUGGAAACGACUGCUAAUACCGCAUAAGCCCACGGCUCGGCAUCGAGCAGAGGGAAAAGGAGCAAUCCGCUUUGAGAUGGCCUCGCGUCCGAUUAGCUAGUUGGUGAGGUAACGGCCCACCAAGGCAACGAUCGGUAGCCGGACUGAGAGGUUGAACGGCCACAUUGGGACUGAGACACGGCCCAGACUCCUACGGGAGGCAGCAGUGGGGAAUAUUGCACAAUGGGGGAAACCCUGAUGCAGCGACGCCGCGUGGAGGAAGAAGGUCUUCGGAUUGUAAACUCCUGUUGUUGAGGAAGAUAAUGACGGUACUCAACAAGGAGGUGACGGCUAACUACGUGCCAGCAGCCGCGGUAAAACGUAGGUCACAAGCGUUGUCCGGAAUUACUGGGUGUAAAGGGAGCGCAGGCGGGAAGACAAGUUGGAAGUGAAAUCUAUGGGCUCAACCCAUAAACUGCUUUCAAAACUGUUUUUCUUGAGUAGUGCAGAGGUAGGCGGAAUUCCCGGUGUAGCGGUGGAAUGCGUAGAUAUCGGGAGGAACACCAGUGGCGAAGGCGGCCUACUGGGCACCAACUGACGCUGAGGCUCGAAAGUGUGGGUAGCAAACAGGAUUAGAUACCCUGGUAGUCCACACCGUAAACGAUGAUUACUAGGUGUUGGAGGAUUGACCCCUUCAGUGCCGCAG
rnacentral:rRNA from 1 species